rnacentral:lncRNA from 1 species
GAUUGGAGGGCAAGACAAACAUGUCUAAAAAUUAUGAAAAGUUUCAUGAAAUUCCUCCCUUCAAAGUGAAGGCUGACCCAAGGACCCUGUUAAACGAUGAAGAUUAUCCAUGGUUACGGCGCAAUAAGCAAAGGACACAAGCAAAGAAAAAGUGAAGACUUUCUCUCCACAACUAUUAUGAUGAUGCCUUUGAUCUAGAAUAUCACUGCAGUUACAUGUGAAGAAAUGAAAUGCCUUUUAUAACAGAUGAGUUUUUGUCUGAAACCCUGAUACUUCGAAAGAGAUAGUCUGUUUUGUACACGAAGUGCAUCCAAUUUUUGCCUUAACCUCUCAAUUUUUGAACACAUGGUAUGUGGGUGAAAUAAUGAUAACAUGCCAGCUUUCAACCUUUUCAGAGUUCAUUUGUAGUGUUUUUCAACUUCAGGGUCAUUUAGCUCAAAAAAUCAGUAAAUGCAUGAAAAAUACCAAAUGAAGUCAGAAAUGGUUGAAAAUUGAUGAUGUGGCUUUGAAUGGUGCAUUUUGAGCACACAAAAAGUUUGAAGUUCAAAUAAGUUAAAAAAAAUUGAAAUCCCUUUGUAACAGAUGAGUUUUCGUUUGAAACCUGAUACUUUGAAAUAGAUUGUCCAUUUUGUACACGAAGUACAUCCAGUUUUUGCCGGAACCCUCUCAACUUUUUAGCACAUGUUAUGUGGGCGAAAUGAUGAUACCAUACCAACUUCCAACCUUUUCAGAGUUCAUUUGUAGUGCCUUUCAAUUUCAGGGUCAUUUAGCUCAAAAAAUCAGUAAAUGCAUUAAAAAUACCAAAUGAAAUCAGAAAUGGUUGAAAAUUGAUGAUAUGGCUUCGAAUGGUGCAUUUUCAACACACAAAAAGUCUGGAGUUCAAAUAAAUUCACAAAAGUGAAAUCCCUUUUUACAGAUGAGUUUUCGUCCGAAACCUGAUACUUCGAAAGAUAUUGUCCAUUUUGUACAUGAAGUGCAUCCAGUUUUUGCCGUAGCCCUCUCAACUUUUUACCACAUGCUAUGUGGGUGAAAUGAUGAUACCAUGCCAACUUUCAACCUUUUCAGAGUUCAUUUGUAGUGUUUUUUAAUUUCAGCGUCAUUUAGCUGAAAAAAAUAGUAAAUGCAUGAAAAAUACCAAGUGAAGUCCGAAAGGGUUGAAAAUUGAUUAUGUUUAUUGUUAAAACACCAUGAUAGGAGCCCCUGAACAUAUCUUUGUCGUGUUAAUUGUUAAAACAGAGCGUUCAUAUCUUGAGCAUAGCUGAUGGUACUAGGCCUUUCCUGGUACAGUUUCAUUGUCAAUACUCUGAAAUAUAAUGUUUAGGUGCAUUUCAGAUGUUCUGAAGAUAGCAUGAUCUUGCAAGAUAGAAAACUUGAAUCGAAAUUAAUCAAUACAUGAAUUUGGAGACAGCUAGGAAAAUAACAGUAUGUACCAUACCAUGUCAAGGGCAGAGGAUAUUACACCUCUCUUAUAGCUGGAUCAUGAACCUUAAAUCGUACUACUGAUCUGGAUGAACUGUAACAAGGAAAUGGAGAUCUCAGAUGGGUGUUCAUAAGUAUCAAAGUGGGGAGUGGUACAUACUAUUUGGAACAAAAAUAUGAGACUAUUUCUCGCCGUCGAGUGAAUCUGGACUUCUUGCACUGAUGAUGUUCCUCAUAUUUGCAAUGCGGCUGCUCGGUGCUUCCUGAAUGUCAACAUAUUUGAAGCAGGUAAAAUCAAAAUGUAUGGACAGAAAAAAUAGAGAUUGAAUUAUUAUGGUGUUGUACAGGUAAGUCAAUGAAAAAAUCCCAUUAAAAUAGAAAGAAAAUUAUCAUCUAGUCUGAAACAACAUUACAUGCAUUUUGGAUAUGUACAGUUGUAUCCAACCCAUCCAUGCUAAAAGUUUGAGAACUAAUUGAAACUCCUCGAGUACACCCUCAGUAUCUCACACAUUCUUAGUAAAAUUUCAGAUCCUGUGGAUACGUGUUGUUGCCUCCAAACUAAUUUAAGCACUAAGGCAACAAUAAAUGGUUGCAAUUUCCUCAAAGAUGUAGCUGAAAUACAGAACGACAUUUGAGAUCUAAGGAGCUGCGCCAGUUUUGGGGACUAUUUUGCAUCCAAACUACGGUUCUAUAGAUCAGAUCUGAGGCUGGAUAUGGAAAUUCCUAAGCCGCACCAGAUUUGGGGAUCCGGAAAUGCCAGAAACAGGAAACAACCUAGUUUUGAGAUUUAGGUCACGUACCUCCAUGACGCCGGUGAACUGCUCGAGUUGGGGUGGAUUCGCAACGGUGGCGUCGAUAGCGGCGUGGUCCGAGCUGGGCCGUGGUGGAGGAGCAGGCCAGGCGUUGGUGUCACAUGGUGAUGUCUAGAACGGAGAUGGGAAACGUCGUGUCACAAUACCGAAGGAGCCAUGGAUGGUGGUGGCCAAUGGGUACAGAUCCACAUCAUAGAGAGCAGAUUGAGGCACUCGGGUGACCUUGGAAGGCACUGGGCGGGGAGCCAUGGAGGGAUGGUGGUCGGAGGCCUCGAAAGCAGAGGGGUUGGGUGGCGCAGAAGGAAAGGAUAAAGGAGAUCUGGGGGGAUUGGAUUUGGGCGUGCCGCGAUGACGGGCGUGAAAACAGGGCUCCAU